UACGAAGGGGGCAAGCGUUGUUCGGAAUCACUGGGCGUAAAGCGCACGUAGGCGGGUUGUUAAGUCGGGGGUGAAAUCCUGGAGCUCAACUCCAGAACUGCCUUCGAUACUGGCGACCUUGAGUCCGGGAGAGGUGAGUGGAACUCCGAGUGUAGAGGUGAAAUUCGUAGAUAUUCGGAAGAACACCAGUGGCGAAGGCGGCUCACUGGCCCGGUACUGACGCUGAGGUGCGAAAGCGUGGGGAGCAAACAGG
rnacentral:rRNA from 1 species